UUUAUUUUCAUACAAGGUAGUUGAAAUGAGCCACGAUUAUUAAAAAAGUAGGUGUGGAAGUCUGGGAUCCUGCUCAGAUAACUGUAACAAAUUAAAUUCUUUCUUUCUUUUUUUUUUUUUUUUUGCACAUUUAUUGAAGUAUAAUUGACAAAUAAAAUUAAAAGACUAAAUGUUAUUUCAGACUGAUAUAAAUUGGCAAAUUGGGUUAAGUGGAUAUUCAGGGGAACUUAGAUGUCACCUAUUAAAAGAUAAAUUACUACAAUUUUUAUAUCUCCAUCAUUAUAUAAAAAAAAAUACUAGGCAGGAACCUAUUCCUGGAGCUUUAACUGUUUUUACUGAUGGAUCAUCUAAUGGGAAAGCUGCCUAUCAUACAAUGAAUUCAGACCGAGUCAUACUGACCAGUCAUAUUUCUGUACAAAGAAUCGAACUAGAAGCUAUUAAGGCUGCACUGCAGGAUUUCCAAGAGCCUCUUAAUAUUGUCUCUAAUUCUUUUUAAUUUUAUUUUUUAAAAUAUAUUUUUUAUUGAUUUUUCACAGAGAGGAAGAGAGAGGGAUAGAGUUAG